ACCGCUUUCGGGCGGGGAUUAGUGGCGAACGGGUGAGUAACACGUGGGCAAUCUGCCCUGCACUCUGGGACAAGCCCUGGAAACGGGGUCUAAUACCGGAUAUGACUGUCCAUCGCAUGGUGGAUGGUGUAAAGCUCCGGCGGUGCAGGAUGAGCCCGCGGCCUAUCAGCUUGUUGGUGAGGUAGUGGCUCACCAAGGCGACGACGGGUAGCCGGCCUGAGAGGGCGACCGGCCACACUGGGACUGAGACACGGCCCAGACUCCUACGGGAGGCAGCAGUGGGGAAUAUUGCACAAUGGGCGAAAGCCUGAUGCAGCGACGCCGCGUGAGGGAUGACGGCCUUCGGGUUGUAAACCUCUUUCAGCAGGGAAGAAGCGAAAGUGACGGUACCUGCAGAAGAAGCGCCGGCUAACUACGUGCCAGCAGCCGCGGUAAUACGUAGGGCGCAAGCGUUGUCCGGAAUUAUUGGGCGUAAAGAGCUCGUAGGCGGCUUGUCACGUCGGUUGUGAAAGCCCGGGGCUUAACCCCGGGUCUGCAGUCGAUACGGGCAGGCUAGAGUUCGGUAGGGGAGAUCGGAAUUCCUGGUGUAGCGGUGAAAUGCGCAGAUAUCAGGAGGAACACCGGUGGCGAAGGCGGAUCUCUGGGCCGAUACUGACGCUGAGGAGCGAAAGCGUGGGGAGCGAACAGGAUUAGAUACCCUGGUAGUCCACGCCGUAAACGG
rnacentral:rRNA from 1 species